rnacentral:rRNA from 1 species
UACGUAGGGGGCUAGCGUUGUCCGGAAUCAUUGGGCGUAAAGCGCACGUAGGCGGACUCUUAAGUCGGUGGUGAAAUCCUGGAGCUCAACUCCAGAACUGCCUUCGAUACUGAGAGUCUCGAGUCCGGGAGAGGUGAGUGGAACUGCGAGUGUAGAGGUGAAAUUCGUAGAUAUUCGCAAGAACACCAGUGGCGAAGGCGGCUCACUGGCCCGGUACUGACGCUGAGGUGCGAAAGCGUGGGGAGCAAACAGG